UACGGAGGAUGCAAGCGUUAUCCGGAAUGAUUGGGCGUAAAGCGUCCGCAGGUGGCUAUGUAAGUCUGCUGUUAAAGAGUCUAGCUCAACUAGAUAAAAGCAGUGGAAACUACAAGGCUAGAGUACGUUCGGGGCAGAGGGAAUUCCUGGUGUAGCGGUGAAAUGCGUAGAGAUCAGGAAGAACACCAGUGGCGAAGGCGCUCUGCUAGGCCGUAACUGACACUGAGGGACGAAAGCUAGGGGAGCGAAUGGG
rnacentral:rRNA from 1 species